ACUCCUACGGGAGGCAGCAGUGGGGAAUCUUGCACAAUGGGGGAAACCCUGAUGCAGCGACGCCGCGUGAGCGAUGAAGCCCUUCGGGGUGUAAAGCUCUUUCGGCAGGGAAGAUUAUGACGGUACCUGCAGAAGCAGCUGCGGCUAACUACGUGCCAGCAGCCGCGGUAAUACGUAGGCAGCAAGCGUUGUUCGGAGUUACUGGGCGUAAAGGGUGUGUAGGCGGUUGUUUAAGUUUGGUGUGAAAUCUCCCGGCUCAACCGGGAGGGUGCGCCGAAUACUGAAUGACUAGAGUGCGGGAGAGGAAAGUGGAAUUCCUGGUGUAGCGGUGAAAUGCGUAGAUAUCAGGAGGAACACCGGUGGUGUAGACGGCUUUCUGGACCGUAACUGACGCUGAGACACGAAAGCGUGGGUAGCAAACAGGAUUAGAUA
rnacentral:rRNA from 1 species